UACGAAGGGUGCAAGCGUUACUCGGAAUUACUGGGCGUAAAGCGUGCGUAGGUGGUUUGUUAAGUCUGUUGUGAAAGCCCCGGGCUCAACCUGGGAAUGGCAAUGGAUACUGGCAAGCUAGAGUGCGGUAGAGGGUAGUGGAAUUCCCGGUGUAGCGGUGAAAUGCGUAGAGAUCGGGAGGAACACCAGUGGCAAAGGCGGCUACCUGGACCAGCACUGACACUGAGGCACGAAAGCGUGGGGAGCAAACAGG
rnacentral:rRNA from 1 species